UGGGGAAUUUUGGACAAUGGGCGAAAGCCUGAUCCAGCAAUGCCGCGUGUGUGAAGAAGGCCUUCGGGUUGUAAAGCACUUUUGUCCGGAAAGAAAUCCUUGGCUCUAAUACAGUCGGGGGGAUGACGGUACCGGAAGAAUAAGCACCGGCUAACUACGUGCCAGCAGCCGCGGUAAUACGUAGGGUGCAAGCGUUAAUCGGAAUUACUGGGCGUAAAGCGUGCGCAGGCGGUUUGCUAAGACCGAUGUGAAAUCCCCGGGCUCAACCUGGGAACUGCAUUGGUGACUGGCAGGCUAGAGUAUGGCAGAGGGGGGUUAGAAUUCCACGUGUAGCAGUGAAAUGCGUAGAGAUGUGGAGGAAUACCGAUGGCGAAGGCAGCCCCCUGGGCCAAUACUGACGCUCAUGCACGAAAGCGUGGGGAGCAAACAGGAUUAGAUACCCUGGUAGUCCACGCCCU
rnacentral:rRNA from 1 species